AUAAAGAAUAAACAAAGCUUACCCGAGAAAAAAAAACCCGCUAAUACUACUAGGAAUAUGUUUAACUUCCUGCUAAUCCUGUUAAGUUCCUGCUAAUACGGCUAAUCCUGGUAAGUUUUCGCUUAAUACGGCUAAACCUAUUAAGUUUCCCAUUAGUGAAAUGACGUUUAUGAAUUUCCUGCUAAUCCUAGUAAGUUCCUACUAAGUACUUAUCAGGAUUAAACGAAUUACUUAGUAAGUUCCUAGUAAGUUUUCAAAAAUAAAACAAGUAUAAAAAAUCGUCUAUGUUAUACGCCAUCUUUUAUUUAUUCACACAGAAAACAAGUCAGCCAUAAAACAGCUUUUUUAGAUUCAAUAGUUUUACUAAUUAAUAUUUGUAAUUCUAUAAGGAAAAAGCUCAAGAACAUCUGGUGAUGAUUGCGUGGUUUGCAGUUUAUUUGAUGAAUAUUUGUUAAUGUGUUAUAAUAUGGUUUUAAAUGUUAAUUUUAACUCUAUAUAAAUUCGAGCAUUUUCUGUUGUAUCAAUUCGAGCAUUUUCUGAUUCAUAGUGAUAUUUCCAUCUCAAACCAUGUACAAUCAAUUAGCUUCAGGUUGGUAAUGCCAACGCAAAAGCCAACCUAUUUUUGCUUCACGCCGGCAUGCAACUGCUGACCUAAAUCU